rnacentral:sRNA from 1 species
AGCGUAAGCCGCCAUGGACGAGCUUGCCGGAGCGGGAACUC